ensembl:snRNA U6 U6 spliceosomal RNA
CAUGCUCGCUUCGGUAACACAUAUUAUACUAAAAGUGGAGCGAUCCAGAGGUUAGCAUGGGCCCUGUGCAAGGAUGACAUGCAAAUUCGUGAAGCAUUCCAUAUUUUU